UACGAAGGGGGCGAGCGUUGUUCGGAUUUACUGGGCGUAAAGGGCGCGCAGGCGGUCCUGUUUGUCGAGUGUGAAAGCCCCGGGCUCAACCUGGGAACUGCGCUCGAAACGGCCGGGACUAGAGUUCGGGAGAGGAGAGUGGAAUUCCUGGUGUAGCGGUGAAAUGCGCAGAUAUCGGGAAGAACACCCGUGGCGAAGGCG
rnacentral:rRNA from 1 species